AUGUACAUUCUUACAACAUAACAUUAAUGCACUGUAUCCCAUAAGAACUCCGUAGUUAAGCACGCUCAGGCUAGAGUAGUACUGGGAUGUUAACUGCUAGAAAAGUUUUAGUGUUUUACAUG
rfam:Picea glauca, whole genome shotgun sequence.